UCUGUUUUUUUCUCUUUUGGGUUUUUCUUUUUGUUGUUUUGUUCUUUUUUUUGCUUUUUUAAAAAAAAGGAGGGUCCAAAGGCUUCUUUUUGCGGGGAAGAGGAGCUGCGAGGACGGGCUGAUAGCGGGAGCUUGGCGGCGAGAGAGGAGAAGCCCCCUGAAACGCACGCCACCUAUCUUCACGGGAGGGGAUAAUUGAGGAGAGCCAAACGUGAGCAUCUUUCUGGGCUCAAGUUCCCCCCCCCCUCCCCCCAUUCUCCCUCUCUCUCUCUCUCUACCCUCCCUCCCUCUCUCUCUUCUUCUUCGUCUUCUGUUUUUUUCCCUUUUUUCUUCUUCUUAUUUUUUUUGGAGAGUGAAACCAACUAUGUCGGGCUUCGACACGGAGUAAGAACCAGGCGACAGAUGAUGUCGUAGGAGGAAGACAAGGAACCUGAGCAUGAGGAGGACCAGCGAAGCUGCUUCGCCCCACCAUAGCUGUUGCUGCUCGGGGUCCAGAGUGGUUCUGGUUCUGGGUGAAUUGUUGUCACGCGUAAUUUGCUACCACCGUGUAAACCAAGCAGUCACGCCAUAA